rnacentral:rRNA from 1 species
UACGGAGGAUGCGAGCGUUAUCCGGAUUUAUUGGGUUUAAAGGGUGCGUAGGCGGCCGAGUAAGUCAGCGGUGAAAUUUUGCAGCUUAACUGUAACAGUGCCGUUGAUACUGCAUGGCUAGGAUUUGGUUGCUGUGGGUGGAAUGUGUGGUGUAGCGGUGAAAUGCUUAGAUAUCACACAGAAUAUCAAUUGCGAAGGCAGCUCACAAAGCCAAGAUUGACGCUGAAGCACGAAAGUGUGGGGAUCAAA